GUCUUCAAGAACAAGGUGAGGUUGCCAGGUGGACCUGUCUUUCAUGGAGAUUCUUGUCAGGUGCAUGAUAUUCAGCUUAAUGGCUAUGCACACUAUUCUAGGGAACUUUUUGAAUGCCCAGGGAACAGAGCCGAUAGAAUGGGCCAACAACAUAAUCUGGAUACAUCGGUUUUUCAAAUGGAACCCGGAAGAAAUCUACACGGCCAUGACCUCUUCCUUGUCAAGGUAACAAAUGCUUAUAUUCAAAUAUUCUGGACAGCGAACGAAAGAGGAAAAGGGAGGCCCAGAAGAGGAG